rnacentral:rRNA from 1 species
CUUGUAAUUGGAAUGAUGGUGACCCAAACCCUCACCAGAGUAGCAAUUGGAGGGCAAGUCUGGUGCCAGCAGCCGCGGUAAUUCCAGCUCCAAUAGCGUAUAUUAAACUUGUUGCAGUUAAAAAGCUCGUAGUUGUAUUUUUGCGUUGACGGUUUGACCAUUUGGUUGGUUAUUUCGUUUUCGCUUUUGGGAAUUUCCCUUUUUACUUUGAGAAAAUUAGAGUGUUUCAAGCAGACUUUUGUCUUGAAUACUUCAGCAUGGAAUAAUAGAGUAGGACUUUGGUUCUAUUUUGUUGGUUAUUGAACCUUAGUAAUGGUUAAUAGGAACGGUUGGGGGCAUUCGUAUUUAACUGUCAGAGGUGAAAUUCUUAGAUUUGUUAAAGACGAACUACUGCGAAAGCAUUUGCCAAGGACGUUUCCAUUAAUCAAGAACGAAAGUUAGGGGAUCGAAGACGAUCAGAUAC